AACGAACGCUGGCGGCAUGCCUAACACAUGCAAGUCGAACGAGACCUUCGGGUCUAGUGGCGCACGGGUGCGUAACGCGUGGGAACCUGCCCUUAGGUUCGGAAUAACUCCCCGAAAGGGGUGCUAAUACCGGAUAAUGUCUUCGGACCAAAGAUUUAUCGCCUUUGGAUGGGCCCGCGUUGGAUUAGCUAGUUGGUAGGGUAAAAGCCUACCAAGGCGACGAUCCAUAGCUGGUCUGAGAGGAUGAUCAGCCACACUGGGACUGAGACACGGCCCAGACACCUACGGGAGGCAGCAGUGGGGAAUAUUGGACAAUGGGCGAAAGCCUGAUCCAGCAAUGCCGCGUGAGUGAUGAAGGCCUUAGGGUUGUAAAGCUCUUUUAACCGGGAUGAUAAUGACAGUACCGGGAGAAUAAGCUCCGGCUAACUCCGUA
rnacentral:rRNA from 1 species